AACGACUCUCGGCAACGGAUAUCUCGGCUCUCGCAUCGAUGAAGAACGUAGCGAAAUGCGAUACUUGGUGUGAAUUGCAGAAUCCCGUGAACCAUCGAGUCUUUGAACGCAAGUUGCGCCCCAAGCCUUCUGGCCGAGGCACGUCUGCCUGGGUGUCACA
rnacentral:rRNA from 2 species